CAGGACUUUACUAUUAUAGCUGCUGGUAUCCUUACCUUCAGAAAUGAAGGUACUUUUCUAUGCUUUCAUCCACACAGUUAAUUUAUACAGUAUCUCACAAAAGUGAGUACACCCCUCACAUUAAUAUUUUCAUCUUUUUUUUUUUUUUCAUGUGACAACACUGAAGAAAUGACAGUCUGCUACAAUGUAAAGUAGUAAGUGUACAGAUUAUAUAACAGUGUAAAUUUGCUGUCCCCUCAAAAUAACUCAACACACAGCCAAUAAUGUCUAAACCGUUGGCAACAAAAGUGGAAAUGUCCAAUUUGGGCCCAAAGUGUCAAUAUUUUGUGUGGCCGCCAUUAUUUUCCAGCACUGCUUUAACCCUCAUGGGCAUGUAGUUCAUCAGAGCUUCACAGGUUGCCACAUGCUUAGUCUGCUUGUCUUCAGCAAAUUGUUUGCGGGCUUUCUUGUGCAACAUUGUUGUGGCUCCCGACCAGCCGCAUGCCG